rfam:Bacillus thuringiensis serovar huazhongensis BGSC 4BD1 contig00212, whole genome shotgun sequence.
AAUAACUGAUUUAACGAGUGAGUGGAAUGAAAGCCUUCAUGUUGAGCUGAAACACUCCCAAUAAUACUCCUACAUGCAGAGAAAGUUGAUAGACUGCACUGUAUGAAGCUAGGUGAAGACGCAUGAAGAAAGCCUAAGUACAUGACAACAUGUAUAUGGCAAUUGAUAAUGCGGUUGGCUAUAAA